UACGGAGGGUGCAAGCGUUAUCCGGAUUUACUGGGUUUAAAGGGUGCGUAGGUGGAUAAGUAAGUCAGUGGUGAAAUCUUCGGGCUUAACCCGGAAACUGCCAUUGAUACUAUUUGCCUUGAAUACUUUGGAGGUAAGCGGAAUAUGUCAUGUAGCGGUGAAAUGCUUAGAUAUGACAUAGAACACCAAUUGCGAAGGCAGCUUACUACACAGUAAUUGACACUGAGGCACGAAAGCGUGGGGAUCAAACAGG
rnacentral:rRNA from 1 species